UACGAAGGGGGCUAGCGUUGCUCGGAUUUACUGGGCGUAAAGCGCACGUAGGCGGACUCUUAAGUCGGUGGUGAAAUCCUGGAGCUCAACUCCAGAACUGCCUUCGAUACUGAGAGUCUCGAGUCCGAGAGAGGUGAGUGGAACUGCGAGUGUAGAGGUGAAAUUCGUAGAUAUUCGCAAGAACACCAGUGGCGAAGGCGGCUCACUGGCUCGGUACUGACGCUGAGGUGCGAAAGCGUGGGGAGCAAACAGG
rnacentral:rRNA from 1 species